GGUCCCAGUGCAGCCCACAGCAAAGGCUCUGCCUGAGGGGGCACCCAGCUGGCAGAAUUAUGCAUGUUAAGAAAAUUAUUAUUUCAAAUGACCGGUCUUCUGAGAUGGUUUAUGAUGUCUGACUUCUGAACAUUUACAUGAAGAGACAAGGGAAGGGAAAGAAAAAAAAUGGGAAAACAUUUUAAUGUCAAGGCUUUUUUGACAACACAGAUGAACAUCAGCCCUUACUGAGCUUUAAGGUCAGGAUCAAAAAAACUGUUGGUUGCUUGAGUUUUCCUGCUGGAAAAGACCAGAACUCUGUAGUGUGCAGGGAGCCUGCCCCCCACUGCUGGCUUGGCAGGAGAGAGAACAACAACCACACAACAGUAUAAAUGCACUUCUGAAAAGACUUAAUUAAAAAAAGAAAAAAAAAAGGAUUGUAUAUAUCAUCCACAUGACACUGACACAUUCCAAUUUGUAUUAUAUGACACAUACUUGGAAUAUUUACAUGACUGAUAAGCAUAUUAAUAAGCCAAGCUUUGACAGGAAAGUAUAUUUCAAGGCUUGGAUUUCUUUGACAUAGAACUCUGUUCUGGAGAUAAUUAGUGCUGCCUGCUAUCCUCUUUCUCACAGUAGAAUUUUUUCCCAUACUAGAAAGAUUAUUCAGAGCUUUAAAAAUCCUGUUCAGUUAAAUGCAACUAGUAAAGGGUAACAGAGCACAUGCCAAAUAAGAGACAAAGAGAAAAUAAAAACUGAUUAAUUUAAGGAAUCAUUUGAAGAUCAACUCUGAAUUUUGUUUUGAUUCUGAAAUAGCUGGUAAUCAAUAUUGAUUUUGAUGACUACUUUUACUAUUUUUGCUAGACUAUGAACUGUAUCCAAUGUUCACCUCUGAAUAGGAAUGAGCAAACCAGCUUGGAAGUAGAUUUGUUUGCUGCUCCAACCAUUCUUUGAAUCCUUACUCAUUUAGAGGAUGAAACCCAGACUACAUCCAGCCUAAGAGUCUGAACAGCCGCAUCCAAGGGAGCUUCUGGUUUAGUCUCCAUAUAAACUAGACCCACACCUCUUCUUGCAUGGUGGCCUUUUCACUCAGUGUGCUAUGCUAUGGGUCCUCUGUCUGUAAUCUGUAGGAUGUGACAAGUGUAAAUAUGUCUUUAGAGACUGAGACCAGAUAGUUCCAUUGUUUCUUCCGUAGUAGUGAUGGAGGCAUCCCACCUUCAGAGUGAUUUUUCUCUAUGACAGUGUUGUGCAUGUGUCAAAGACAGAAGAGUUCAAAUAUCUGAUUCCAUCAUUACUUUUGCAGGGCAAUCACUCAAAAAUUAUUGUCAUAGACUUUCUGGUUUGUUUCCUACAAUGCAGACUGGAAGGGCCUGGUCUGGGGUUUUUCUGCAAACCCCAAAGAGAUUGUGACAGAAGACAAGCAUCUGUCAGAAACAUUUCUGCGGGUCCAGCUGGGAGUAGGUGUCACUAGCAGAAAGUCUGCGGCAGAAAUCACCAGCAAGCUGGAAAAUCCAGUGGGAAGUAACAACAUGUGGAGGCUGAAGAAUGUAUAACCUAUGCUUUGCAACCUAUGAUGCUGGAAGAGCAUUGUGUUCUUCCUUUGGCACAGAAGGUCUCUGUUGAAAAUUUUCCGCAAGAUUACUUCCCAUCCGUUCCACUGACAGAUGCACUGAGAGAUUGAUCAUAAAGCUAAAUCAAAUGGUCAUCUGAUUCUGAGGAGUUAGUGCUGCCCUUCACUAUAUUACUAGGUGAAAAUGCACCACAGCAAAAAAAUUCUUACAGGAAGAUGCUCUCCUUACUGUUCAUUGCCACCACGCUGAUUUUGUUAAAUGUGCAUUCACAGACUAGGCAGACACAGACACAUAUGGCACAUAACUGCUAAUGCUGUCACAGUUCUUAAAGGUGAUUGCCAAGAACAAUUCAUUGAAGUGGAUAAUUUGCUUACUGUGUGAAGAAAAUUAGCACCUUUGAAGCCAAAGUCUGGAAAAAGAAGAAAAUGCCUUCACUAUUAUAUAUUUCUGUGAAACAAGCAGCAAUUAAUCUAUGUGGGCAGAAGUGUACACUGGGUCAGAAUAGGCCUAGUAAGAGGAUCUAUGACCCUCUAUUAUCACUGAGAGGGUAGUAAUUGAUAGGUACAAGAGAUACUUUGCUUUAGCAUCCUCCCCUUGUGAUGUGGUCAGCUUAGCUGCAGAUGCAGAUGCUAUUUUUGUGAUUAAACUGUGAUUUGAAAAAUUAAGGAGCCUUCUGUUACAACUAAUCUUUCCUUAGUUAUGAGUGACCUGAAAUAAAACAAAUGUUGUAGAACCAGCAUGGAUGUUAUUCUGCAAGAUCACUUAGCCUGCAGCCCCUUACUCAAGUGACUCAUGGUCCUGGGGACUACAGGGGGGAACAAACCUCCAUCCCGGGCUCUGCACUGAACUCACAGAACUGGUCUGAGCUAGAAAGUGAAGAUCUUUCCAAGAGUGAUCAGCCUUGACCAAAGCAGUUCCCCUUCGGAGAAAGAACUGAGCCAUGCCAGCUGGUGUCUCAGGAGUCUGCACACACAAAACACACAUGCUUCAGCAGCAGAAGUCAGUGAAGAAGGAUACCCAGCUUACUCAGUGUCUUUUGGAGCCUGACUUACUUAUGCAUCUUAUAAAGCAAGACCUUGGUUUUUUGUGUGAAACCCGUCACCACUAGCUGUUCACUAGAAAUAAUUUUGGAAGUACAGAUUCUAGAAACCUAGUUGGUCUGGGGAGGAAAUAGUCCAGAGAUUUUGCUCACUGUGAUUUGUAGGUUGUGCUCUGAUUUCAAAAGCCCUACUCGUGCACAAGCACUGAGGAAAUAAGGCAACCCAAGCAAGUGCUGUUGAAGUGCUCAGCAAAGCCAGCAGGGCUGUGCCACCAGCAGUGCUGGCACCUGGGGCCUAUCCAUGUCUCUCGUUCUGCAGAGCUUGCAAGUGGGAUGAAGACAUGACUUAAUGAGGCAGCUGGGAGCUGAAUCUAAAGUGAUAACAGAAUACACAAGGGUGAUAACACACUAGUGAUCCCAGAAGACUAUGUUUUCCUUACAGGGAAGAAAAAAAUAUUCUUUGUGAAGAAAUUAUCCUUAAAUACUGUAUUGUGUUUUGGGAAGUAUGUGAAAGAUAUAGGUCAUUAGGAGAGUAUAAGGUGAAAAGGGGAUAGCAGUCAACUGGCAAAGAAUUGUGGCUUCUUCGUUAAUAACUCCCAGCAGUAUUGCAAAGCAGGAACAGCAGGCCGUGUUCAGCCAGGAAGUCCAUCCUUAGAGGAAACUUCUGUUCUCUUCAUAUGUUAUUUGUAAGUACUGUGUGAAGCUUGAACCUUAACAAUUUUUUAUGACAUACAAUUUGCAGACAUACCACUGUGUUUUACUGUACAUGAGAAAAGAGAAAUCAGCAUGAAAUUUCAGAAUGAGAUAUACAUGUUGGUUGAGAUAUACCUUAUAUCAAAUAAUGCUUAACUGUUAAUUUAUACCUUUACCAAGGAGCAAAGUAUGAGAUGACAUUGCUCUGCAGCACCAUAUGGUAUCUAGUGUCCAGACAUAUUGGAAAAGAGAGGAAAAAUAAUAGUCUUGGAGAACAGGAUGCUUUUCAUAGAACAAGUGCUAUGGCUAUUCCUUUUAAUAGCAGGAGCAGGAAAGCUGAGGCCCUAAAACACUCUAGACACAGUAGCACUGAGAACAGUUGCAGAGCCUAGUUACUCUGGUCGCAAACUCAGACACUUGAACAUCAGAUCACUUUUCAAAAUAAAAUGACACACUUCAAUGUUUUAUCUUUCAGUAAAAUUCUGCCUUUAAAGAAGGAGAUACUUUGAUCUUUAAUUCGUCCCUAUUGAUAUGGCUGGAAUGUGUCCAUAUGGCUGAUGUAGUUGCUAGGCUACUCUUGAUAAUUUUUGAUCAAUCAUGAAGACUGGGAAAAGUGCCUGAAGACUGGAGGAAAGUAAAGGACAAUCUUGACUUGAAGAAGGGCAAGACAACUACAGGCUGGUCAACCUCACUUUGAUCCCAGGAAAUGAGAAGGAGCAGCUGAUUCUGGAAACUAUUUCCAGGCAUAUUAAAAACAAGAAAAUCAUCAUGAGUAGUAAGCAUGGAUUUACCAAGAGGGAAGUCAUUCUAGACCAACUUGAUAAAUUUCUGUAAUGAAAUGACUGGCCUGGUAGAUGAGGGGAGAGCAGAGGUUAUUUUCUACCUGGACUUCAGUAGGACUUUUGGCACUGUCUCCAGAAAAUCCUCAUAGAGAAGCUGUCGAUAUAUGGGUUGCACGAACAGACGGUGAAGUGGAUUCAAAACUGACUUAACAGUCACACACAGAGAGUGGUGAUCAGACACAAAAUCAGCUUGGUAGCCACUAACUAGCAAGUUUGCUGAUGAUACCAAACUGGGAGGAGUGGCUAAUAUUCUGGCAGGUCAUGCUGCCAUCCAGAAGGACCUCAACAGGCUGGAGAGAUGGGCUGACAAGAACCUCAUGAAGUUCAAGAAGGAAUAGUGCAAAGUUCUGCACUUGGGCACUAGGACAUGCUAAAGGGGAGCAGCUGGAAAGCAGCUUGGCAGAAAAGGAUCUGGGGGUCCUAGUAGAUGACAAGUUGAACAUAAGCCAGCAGUGUGCCCUUGGGCAAAGAAGGCCAGUUGUGUCCUGGGCUGCAUUAGGAGGAGUAUUACCAGGAGGCUGAGGGAGGUGAUCCUUUCCCUCUAUGUGGCACUUGUGAGGCCACACCUGGCAUUCAGUUCUGGGUUCCCUAGUACAAGAGAGACAUGGACAUACUGGAGGCAGUCCAGUGAAGGGCCAUAAAGAUGAUUAAGGGACUGGAGUACAUCUACUCAAGUAAAGGCUGAAAGGCCUGGGACUGCUCGGUUUGGAGAAGUCUCAGGCGGAUCUUAUCAAUGUGCAUGAAUACCUGAAAGAAAGAUGCAAAGAGGAUGGAGCCAGGUGCUUUUCAGUGGUGCCCAGUGACAGGAGGGAAGGCAAUGGGCACAAACUGAAAUACAGAAGAUUUUGUCUGAACGUUAAGAAGCACUUUUUCACUAAAAUACCUUUUUUAUAAAAGUAAAAUUGAAAUAAUGUAUUGAAUUAUGUAUUUCAAAAUGAGAUUGUGUACAACUGAAGUUGAUAGCUCAGUUACGCAGGAACCUGACAUUAAUCUGUUUUCUAAUGCAGUGACUACAGUGUAUUGCAGUUCUAUUCUUGAUUAUUCAUGAAACAAAUUAUUAUGUGUGUCCUAUUACAGGGGCUGGGACCAGUUUAUUGCUAUGUGGGUAUAGCCAAAACUGUGUAUUCUAUACCCUCUAUGUAAUUUCUGAUGGACUGUUAAUAAAUGGAUUGUUUACAGCAGCUACCCAGGGCACACCUGACACCUCAGUCUACAAGCUGAGUGUUAAAACCCUGUGAGGCAGAGGAGUGUUUUCUUUGUUUUCACACCAAUGACUGUGUGAUAACUGUGAUAACUGUGUGAUAGCUGUGAUAACUCCCCUCCAGAAAGGCAUUAACACCUUCACACCCAGCCUGAGGGGUCAUCUCUGCUAAUGGGUCACUAUGGACUGGUAUAAUAGGCAGCUGCAACAUUCGAAGAUUCCAAAAAUCUCCCAUAACUCGUAGAGUUAAAUUAUCUAUUGUGAAAGUCCUUGUUCUGGGGGAGGUACUGGGCAUUCCCACCUGAACUUGAACAUAUAUAAACUUCAGGUUUUGAGACUUCUGGUAUCACUCACUGGAUCGAGAAGAGGACCAGAACUUCAAGAGGACUGUGACUGCCACUUUCGACAGGACUGCCAAUCAUCACCCAGACCAACAGGUUUUCCUUUUCUUUUACUUUACACCCAGUGGGGCCACGUGGUGCUCAGCAUAGGGGCUAAGGAACACCGUUCUGUUCUUGUCCCAGAGUGCUGGGUUAUAUAUCUGUUUGUUGGGGGUGAAAAACAGUUUUCUCUGUACAUUGCAUUUAUUGUAAUCUUUUUUAGUAAAUUGUAACUCUGACUUGUAAUCUCUCUUGAGUUGGGUUAAUUUUUCCCACUGGUUUACUUCUAAACCAGCACAUGUGUGUGAGCUGGAUGGUAUUAUUCAAUGUAGAAUACUUACUUCAAAGUAUGGGUUUCUUCUUUUUGUGUUUG